UACGGGGGGGGCAAGCGUUGUUCGGAAUUACUGGGCGUAAAGGGCUCGUAGGCGGCCAACUAAGUCCGACGUGAAAUCCCUCGGCUUAACCGGGGAACUGCGUCUGAUACUGGAUGGCUUGAAUCCGGGAGAGGGAUGCGGAAUUCCAGGUGUAGCGGUGAAAUGCGUAGAUAUCUGGAGGAACACCGGUGGCGAAGGCGGGUCUCUGGGCCGAUACUGACGCUGAGGAGCGAAAGCGUGGGGAGCGAACAGG
rnacentral:rRNA from 1 species